rnacentral:rRNA from 1 species
CUCAGGGAGGUAGUGACAAGAAAUAACAACACUGGAAAUUUUAUUUCUAGUGGUUGGAAUGAUGGGAAUUUAAACCCCUUUCAGAGUAACAAUUGGAGGGCAGGUCUGGUGCCAGCAGCCGCGGUAAUUCCAGCUCCAAUAGCGUAUAUUAAAGUUGUUGCAGUUAAAAAGCUCGUAGUUGGAUGUCUGCUGGAAGCAAUCAGUCCGCCCUAUUUGUAGGGUGUGCACUUGAUGAAUUCUGGCAUUUUUGUCCCAAUGAUGUAACGGAGCGGUGCUAUUGGGCGAAAGUUCAAUAGCCUGUUUUCCGAUUAUUGGGAUACUGUUACUUUGAGAAAAUUAGAGUGUUUGAAGCAGGCUAAUUGCCUUGAAUACUGCAGCAUGGAAUAACAAUAUAGGAUUUCGGUUCUAUUUUGUUGGUUUCUAGGACUGAAAUAAUGAUUAAUAGGGACAGUUGGGGGCAUUCGUAUUUAACUGUCAGAGGUGAAAUUCUUAGAUUUGUUAAAGACGAACUACUGCGAAAGCAUUUGCCAAAGAUGUUUUCAUUAAUCAAGAACGAAAGUUAGGGGCUCGAAGACGAUCAGAUACCGUCGUAGUCUUAACCAUAAACUAUGCCGACUAGAGAUAGGAAAAUGUCAUUUUGCUGACUU